AGAGUUUGAUCCUGGCUCAGGAUGAACGCUGGCGGCGUGCCUAACACAUGCAAGUCGAGCGAUCUUCUUCGGAAGAGAGCGGCGGACGGGUGAGUAACGCGUGGGUAACCUGCCCUGUACACACGGAUAGCAUACCGGAAGGUAUGCUAAUACGAGAUAAUAUACUUUUAUCGCAUGGUAGAAGUAUCAAAGCUCUGGCGGUACAGGAUGGACCCGCGUCUGAUUAGCUAGUUGGUAAGGUAACGGCUUACCAAGGCGACGAUCAGUAGCCGACCUGAGAGGGUGAUCGGCCACAUUGGAACUGAGACACGGUCCAAACUCCUACGGGAGGCAGCAGUGGGGAAUAUUGCACAAUGGGCGAAAGCCUGAUGCAGCAACGCCGCGUGAGCGAUGAAGGCCUUCGGGUCGUAAAGCUCUGUCCUCAAGGAAGAUAAUGACGGUACUUGAGGAGGAAGCCCUGGCUAACUAUGUGCCAGCAGCCGCGGUAAUACGUAGGGGGCUAGCGUUAUCCGGAAUUACUGGGCGUAAAGGGUGCGUAGGUGGUUUCUUAAGUCAGAGGUGAAAGGCUACGGCUCAACCGUAGUAAGCCUUUGAAACUGGGAAACUUGAGUGCAGGAGAGGAGAGUGGAAUUCCUAGUGUAGCGGUGAAAUGCGUAGAUAUUAGGAGGAACACCAGUUGCGAAGGCGGCUCUCUGGACUGUAACUGACACUGAGGCACGAAAGCGUGGGGAGCAAACAGGAUUAGAUACCCUGGUAGUCCACGCCGUAAACGAUGAGUACUAGCUGCCGGAGGUUACCCCCUUCGGUGGCGCAGCUAACGCAUUAAGUACUCCGCCUGGAAGUACGCUCGCAAGAGUGAAACUCAAAGGAAUUGACGG
rnacentral:rRNA from 1 species